rnacentral:lncRNA from 1 species
CGAGGAAAGCGUGCGCGGCAGUCGGGCCGGUGUUCGCAAGCACGUUUCCUUCUGCUCUUGCUAGGGAAGCGGGACGGGCGAGGAUCGGGGCUCAGGCGAUGUCCGCCGGGCGCAGCUGGGAACAACUUCUCGCAGCCGCGGACCGUCCGUCCCUGCUCCCACCGGCCCUGCGAGAGACUUUCUCGUCAUUGCGACCGCGUUUCGCCCCGGAUUUCUGGGGCAGCCGGCAGGAAUUUGCCGUACCCGCGUUCGGCUUCCCAUCACCCGAAGGGACGGCGUGAAGAGCCCAGCAAACUCGCUGGAGCCUCCCGAGUGCGCGAAGGGUUAAGGAAAGCCGUUUAUCUGCUCAUUAUCGGUUUCCCUUUACUACUGAGAACCGAACCCGAGCCCCGCUCGUAUCAAUGUGUCCUUCAUGCCUUUUCCAGUCAUUGAUCUGGUCAAAGUCACCGCAGAAAUACUAGUGACAGAGACUCAAUUCCAGACAACGUGACCAAUGCAAGUAUUUAGAAGGCGUUCAAUAAAAACCUUUCCCGGAGAGCGAACGAUUUCACCUUGCAACAAAGAGCGCUCGGCUAAUUGAAAUAAUGCACUCGGAUGUGCGGCCGGGCUGGGAGCC